rnacentral:rRNA from 1 species
CCUACGGGAGGCUGCAGUGAGGAAUAUUGGUCAAUGGCCGGAAGGCUGAACCAGCCAAGUCGCGUGAGGGACGACUGCCCUAUGGGUUGUAAACCUCUUUUAUCGGGGAAGAAAUAAUGCUACGUGUAGCAUGAUGCCAGUACCUUAUGAAUAAGCAUAGGCUAACUCCGUGCCAGCAGCCGCGGUAAUACGGAGGAUGCGAGCGUUAUCCGGAUUUAUUGGGUUUAAAGGGUGCGUAGGCGGAGGUUUAAGUUAGGGGUAAAACGUCGGGGCUCCACCUCGAUCUGCCGUUGAUACUGUAUGACUCGAGUUCGGGCGAGGUAGGCGGAAGCAGUUGUGUAGCGGUGAAAUGCAUAGAUAUAACGUAGAACUCCGAUUGCGAAGGCAGCAUACCGGCCUGCAACUGACGCUGAUGCACGAGAGCGUGGGUAGCGAACAGGAUUAGAUACCCGUGUAGUC